rnacentral:rRNA from 1 species
UACGUAGGGGGCAAGCGUUGUCCGGAAUCAUUGGGCGUAAAGCGCGUGUAGGCGGCUUCGUAAGUCCGUUGUGAAAGUCCAGGGCUCAACCCUGGAAUGCCGAUGGAUACUGCGGAGCUAGAGUCCGGAAGAGGCGAGUGGAAUUCCUGGUGUAGCGGUGAAAUGCGCAGAUAUCAGGAGGAACACCGAUGGCGAAGGCAGUUCUCUGGGCCGUAACUGACGCUGAGGAGCGAAAGCGUGGGGAGCGAACAGG